rnacentral:rRNA from 1 species
CCUAACGGCUGAACCAGCAACUUGGAGSWAUGUAUAGCGMAWGCUAGUUGUAUUAAUUAUGUCUUUAGUUAAAUGCAGCAWCGACUAUGUCGAAUAAAAUKYSUAGGUAKAGUUAYGAUAAUGACAUUUUCUACCUAUGUGUMUUGACCAAUUCWCGUSCCWGCARUCGCGGAAAUACGUGGAAGACUAGUGUUAUUCAUCUUUAAUAGGUUUAAAGGGUACUUAGACGGUAAAUUAAGCCCAGAUAAAAAUAAAGGGUACUAAUUAUACUAGAGUUUAAAUGAGAGGGGGGGUGUAGUAGUGGUGUAGAGAUGAAAUUCUGUCAUACCAAGAUGACAGGCAACGGCGCAAGCAACCUUUUAUGUGUAGACUGACGUUAAAGGACGAAGGCUUUGUAUCACCAACAGGAUUAGGUACCCAAGCAGUCUUAGCAGACAAUUCUGAAUGCCAUAGAUAAGAAAAGAUUCUUUUCUCUCUAUCUCUAUUAAUAAAAAGAGAUAGAUGUUAUUUUGUCUAUAAAUGAAAGUGUAAGCAUUCCACCUCAAGAGUAAUGUGGCAACGCAUAAACUGAAAUCAUUAGACCGUUUCUGAAACCAGUAGUGAAGUAUGUUGUUUAAUUUGAUGGUCCGCACAAAACCUCACCACAAUUUGUAUAUUAUUAUCUUAAUACAGGAGUUGCACGGCUGUCUUCAGUUAAUGUCGUGAGAUUUUGGUUAGUUCCAUUAAAUUAACGUAAACCCUUACUUUAUUUAUGUUAUAAAGUAGUUCGCCGCUAUAUUGGAUAUGAUAAAAGGGACUAAGACAAGUCA